rnacentral:rRNA from 1 species
AAAGCUCAAAUUUGAAAUCCCCCCGGGGAGUUGUAAUUUGAAGAUUGCGUCUUGGAGGCGACCGUGUCUAUGUUCCUUGGAACAGGACGUCACAGAGGGUGAGAAUCCCGUGCGGCACGGCCCCCGGCUCCUUAUAAGGCGCUCUCGACGAGUCGAGUUGUUUGGGAAUGCAGCUCAAAGUGGGUGGUAAAUUCCAUCUAAAGCUAAAUACAGGCGAGAGACCGAUAGCGAACAAGUACAGUGAUGGAAAGAUGAAAAGCACUUUGAAAAGAGAGUGAAACAGCACGUGAAAUUGUUGAAAGGGAAGGGCAUGCCGUCAGAUUGUCAGUGUGGGUAAGAAGCGGGGUACAAAGACUGUGGAACGUGGCCCUCGGGUGUUAUAGCCGCAGUUCAUGCCCCGUCUCUUUCCGAGGCCUGCUUUGAGGACACCGACGUAAUGACGGUACGCCGCCCGUCUUGAA